AAUCAAUGCACCUACAGAUUCACUAUGGUAAAUGCACACGCGAGUUUCGUUGCCGUCUUGAUGACUGUUGUCCCAAUAUAUGGAACUGCGCCAUCAGGUACCACAAGCCUUCAAACUCGCCUUCAUAAGAGGGAAUGCUCUGAGCCUUUGAUGGAGGAAGUGAGAUUCUGUGGAAACCUGCGAAUUUGGAGAUAUUUCUACAACCACACUUCCCAGCAGUGUCAUCAGUUCUAUUGGGAUAACUGUCUUGCUGACGGCGUUCAUAUGACCCGAAUCGAUUGCGCCAAGAAAUGCAAUCUGAAAGAGCAACCUGGAAUUUGCGCCGAACACCCGGCAGGUACUUGUGCAACAUACCAGCCGACCUCCAGCUAUUAUCCUAAAAAAAGUUACUUCUACAACAUAACGUCCAAAAGAUGUGAAGAAUACAAAGUGUGCAUGUCCACAGGGUAUAUCCUUAAACAAAACUCAUUCGCUUCAAAAACUCUAUGCAUAAUGCA